ACUCUGAUCCUGGGGCUCAGCGAGUUUGCAAGGGGUGUUUCUGUCCACGGUCAGGCUUGCCAGCCUUGGUCCCUGGGCCC
ensembl:miRNA